rnacentral:rRNA from 1 species
AUACGUAGGGUGCGAGCGUUGUCCGGAUUUAUUGGGCGUAAAGGGCUCGUAGGUGGUUGAUCGCGUCGGAAGUGUAAUCUUGGGGCUUAACCCUGAGCGUGCUUUCGAUACGGGUUGACUUGAGGAAGGUAGGGGAGAAUGGAAUUCCUGGUGGAGCGGUGGAAUGCGCAGAUAUCAGGAGGAACACCAGUGGCGAAGGCGGUUCUCUGGGCCUUUCCUGACGCUGAGGAGCGAAAGCGUGGGGAGCGAACAGGCUUAGAUACCCUGGUAGUCCACGCUGUAAACGGUGGGUACUAGGUGUGGGGUCCAUUCCACGGGUUCCGUGCCGUAGCUAACGCUUUAAGUACCCCGCCUGGGGAGUACGGCCGCAAGGCUAAAACUCAAAGGAAUUGACGGGG